UUCAUACAUUCUUAAAAAAUAUAUAUAUAAUAUAGUCUUAUUUAUCUAGAAUAGUAUCUAAUUUUUUUAUAAUUUUAAAAAUACUUAAUAUAUUUCUGGUUGAUCAAAGUAUUUUUAUUAAUUUUUUUUUAAAAUUUAAAAUAUUCUUCAGAAUUUAUUAAUUAGAUUUUGAGUUUAGAAAAAUAUUUUGUAAAUGAAAGGAUAAAUUUAAAAAUUUUAAAUAGUAAUCGAGCCCUUAUCUAUUUUGGGGUUGAGAAUUUGUUAUUAGUCGUAUUAAUGUGAUCAAUGAAUCUCAUUUUAGUUUUAAGAUGAAUGCAGUGUAAAAUGAAAAUCUCUUUACGGGUGUACACAUAAUGUAUCUAAAGAAAGAACCAUUAUAAUGAAUUAGUCGUUCCACUAUUGUCGUUUUCAAAUCGCUCUCUCAUUUUAUUUAUCUAUUCAUACUAUUUUAUCCUCUAGUUUAUAUGAUUUUACUCAAUUAUAUAAAUAAUUUUAGAAAAUAUUUCAAAUAUAAUCCUUACGAUUUUGUACUUUUUCACUUUAGUACUCUGUAGUUUAAAGUGUAUCAUUUUUAUACUCUAUAAUUUUAUUUUUCUCUUUUUAUUAUCCCCUUCACUAAUUUUCUUCGUUAAAUUAGUGACAAAAUUAAAACUAAAGGGUAUUCAUAUGAAUAUUCAAGAAAUUAUAGGUGAGGUAUCUAAAAUUUUUUAUAUGUGAUUUAAUGAAAAGUUAACAGAGGGGCUGAUGACAAAAAAAAAAAUGAAAUUAUAGAGUAUUAAAUUGAUACACUUUAAACUAUAGAAUAUUAAAGUGAGAAAGUACGAAACCACAUGGAUAGUAUUUGAAGUUUACCCAUAAUUUUAAUAUAUUACAAAAUUUAACUAAUUUUUAUUUUAAAAAACUAAAACAAUUAAUUAUUAACCACC
rnacentral:lncRNA from 1 species